AAAUGGCCUGCUUCCAAUCAAAGCACUCACAAAUCAAUUAUCCCCAGAGUCAUGAAAAUUCCUGGAGGUCACUGCAGACUGAGCUGGAGAGGGAAAUCUGAUUUGUCUCUCCUCGGUUCAUUAGCUCGGAGUGUUUGCACCUUCACAGUAUCCUUGCUGGAGGGUCUUCAACCUUUUCCUGAGAAGUCACUACUUCUGAUUUCCCUGAAGUCU
rnacentral:lncRNA from 1 species